GAAAAACGAGGCACUACUCACUACGUGGGGUUGAGGGGAAAGUCUGAGACCCUCAUGGUAAGGGUGUGGGGGAGGAUGGAAAGACCUCCUCGAGUGAGAAUGGGUGGGGAGAAAGGAGAAACCCUCCACAUAAUGACAGAGGAGAAGAUGACUUUCCCUCAGAGAGGGCUGCUGGAGGCUGAGGGGAGCUUCACAGUGUGUGAAGACAGAGGCGUGGAGAGGGGGAUGCUGGGACUGAGGAUGCAUCUGUUCUGCCUUCCCCUCUCUCCUCAGAACCCAUUCAGAUGAUAAAUAAUUAGGGUUAAUCAUACUUUGGGGUUUUUUAAACCAGUGACUGAAACAGGACCUAGGGAGACCAAUAGAUCUGGUCUCUGGACACUCAAUAAAUUCUGUCCCAAAGCUAGUUGCAGAAAGAAGCUUCCCCUCAUGAGUUCAACCAGUAGGCAAAGGAAACCACCAGCUCUUCAGGGUGAGAAGUCACACCACCUCAUAGCCCCAUUACAUGCAGCCUCCAGAACUGUGUGGUUUGCAACUUGUGAGGUGCAAAUAACAAAUUCGUAAACAUUGAAACCUUGGUGGAAAGUAAAGAAGGUAUCUGUACCAUUUCAGUAAGGCUUUCACUCAUUCAUUUGAUCAUGUAUGCAUUCAUUCAUUUAUUCAUUCAGCAGUACUUAUUGAGCACCAGUAAGUGCUGGACAUUAUGCUGAACUCAGGGAAUACAGCAGUGGGCCACAACAGAGGUCUCUGCCCUCAGGGUGCUUACAUUCUAAUGACAGAGGCCAACACUCAAAUAUCCUUUAAAUAACAUGGUUGCAGUGAUGACUGCUAUGAAAGAGAGGUGUGUGGAGCCAAGAAUGGCAAAUUUUCCUGUGGUCAGAGACAGUAUCUCCAAAGUGAUGAAGACUGAGCUGAGAUCGGAAGAUGAGUAGGAGCUACUUACAAGAAGUGGGAAGGGAAAAUAAAACCCUUCUAGCCAGAGGUGCAAAGGCCUUGUGGUGAGAGGACCUAAAAGAACGAAAGUCAGUGUGGCCAGCAGAGAGAGUUGCACUUUUAAAAUUUCAUUAGUUGCAGUAUGGGAAACAGAUUGUAGGGGGUCAAGACUGGAUGUAGGCAAACUGAGUCAGAAGGCUCUUACCGUUAUCCAGGAGAGAGGUGAUGGUAGGUUGGACAAGCAUAGUAGGAUGCAGAGAGAGGGAAGGAUGCUCUCAAGAGGUAUCUAAGGGAUAAGGAGGUGGGAAGAUGGGCCUUUGCUUUUGAUAGCCUCUUGGGACUAGAAGGACAAAGUUUGGAGUCUGGGGCUACCAAGGUUAGAGAACUGGUAAAUCCCUCAUCUUUUUGACUUGGGACCCCAAAAGACUUACCCUAGGAGACUUAUCCUUCUUGUAAACAAGAAGUACACCAGUUUUAAUUCAUCUAUGGGGCCAAGAAAAUCUCAAAACUGGUAUUAGAUUAAAGAGAUCCAAGCUUACGAGUGCCCACAAGUACCUUACAGAAGCAAACAAAGACCAUCACUAAAAGAAAAUAACAUUCUUAGGCCUCACAAUUUUCCUACAAAUAAUUUUUCAUAAGCAAUGUUCAUCAUAUGUUCAGAGAUAUCCAGGCCCAUGAGGAGGAUCCAGGCCCAUGGGGAUCAUCCUCCUCCAUGAGGAGACCCAUGAGCAAGACCCUCCUGGUGGGGACAGCCUAUCACAGACUGCAGCCCAGGAUGCAGCCCGGCCCACCUCCCUCUCAUUUCAUCCCAAGAAGAUGGAAGGAGGAACUUCCAGCCUCCUCAGUUCAUGUACUUGUAGACAGACUUUAAAGAUGUUUGGAGUUCUGACUAUAGUCCUAAGCAUACUCUUUAUUGCAAUCUGUCAAGAACAUAGCCAGCAACAGGGAAGAGUUGAUAAACCAUAACAUGAUCAUUUAUAAUAUUUAAUGUUUAGUACAGUCACAAUUGCCAAUCAUUGUUCUAAAUAAUACAUAUAUAUAUGUGUGCAUGUAUAUACAUAUGUACAUUUAUUUAAUCUUCAUAACAAACAUAACCAUUUUAUAGAUGAGGUAGUUGAGACCAAGAUUGUCUUUUGUCUAAUUGGGUUUUGUGGGUUGUUUUGUUUUGUUUUGUUUUGUUUUGUUUUGUUCGGCUCAUAUGUAUUACUGCUCUAGGCAGUAUUAAUUAAUUGAUUAAUUUAUUUAAAAUUUAUUAUUUUAAAA
rnacentral:lncRNA from 1 species